CAAAACUUGGACAAAACAUGGAUUAAAUACCCGCUGCUGAAGAAACUCUACUUUUCUCUUUGUCUUUUCUUCUUUAUUCAGGUUGAGGAGCUGCAGUUUGUCAGAGAUCAGCUGUUCUUCUCUGGUCUCAGCUCUGAAGUCCAACCCCUCCCAUCUCAGGAAACUGGACCUGAGCUACAACAACCUUCAUGGUUCAUCAGUGAAGGUUCUGUGUGGUUUUCUUCAGAGUCCACUCUGUGAACUGGAGUCUCUGUGGUUGGAGAGCUGCAGUUUGUCAGAGAUCAGCUGUUCUUCUCUGGUCUCAGCUCUGAAGCCCAACCCCUCCCAUCUGAGGAAACUGGACCUGAGCU